rnacentral:snRNA from 1 species
AUACUGUGGUUUCUCUUCAGAUUGUAUGAACCUUUUGCAUUCUA